AGAUCUCUCUCUCUGCGGAAGCCAGCCACCGCUCUCCAAGGACUCUCGAGCAGCUCCAUCUACAGAUUCACAUGGAGAAGAAUUAAGGGUUCCUGCCAAUCACCAGCACCACUUUGCCAGCCUUGUAAGUGGGCCACCUUGGAAUUGGAGCCUCCAGUUCCUACUGACAUCUGACUGCAACAUCAUGAGAGACCCUGAGUUUGAACCACCCAGCUGAGCUGCUUCUGAGCUAACCCACUGAAACCGUGAAAGUACCUGAAUGAAACAACACCCAGUAGCCACUAGCACACCUAGCUCCCAGAUCUGUUUUUGAUGCCAUUCUUCAGUAAAAGGAAGCAAGGCUGCUUGGAGAAAUUGCUAUCAAGGACUGGGGUAGAAAAUAUACAAGAUGAAAUUGGAGCAUCUUGUAGUGCUUGAAAACAGUUGGCAUCUGUGUGAAGAUGUGAAUGGAGGAGGCAGAGUAGGCAGUGUGCCACCUCUUUGAUCCAGCAAGUGGGAAGAACAGUCCCGGCCUCUUUGCACACAAGACCGUGAUACGAAUGCACCAUCACAGGCCCCACAGGGGAGCUGUCCGCUUCCCCACACAGCUGCUAGGGGCUCUUUUGCAUGUUCCCAACCUUUCCUGCCUUUAUCUGAUAUUCGUUCCUUAGAUCCUGGGAUGAGGAGGUGGACCAGCAGAAGGUGGGCUUGUGAAGGCAGCCCGGGGUCCAAAUCCUCCUGGCUCUUCAGCUUAGCGGGUUAGUUAACAUUCAGAAGUCUUCAUCUCCCAUCUGCAAAAUGGGCAUGUCCAACUCAGAAGCUGCCUUGAAGAAAGGGUCUACCCAGCAUGGUGCGUGGAGCCUAAGCAGUCAGUACUUCAGGACUUCACCCGGCCCCUUUCCAAUAACUGCUGCUGUCGCCCUCACAGGAUGUCACCUUCAGCGUCUGAAAGCUGGGUUUGAUGCGUCUGGAAAGGCGUCCCUGACAGGCGUCGUUGCCAGGAGCCCCUAGUGCCACCAGCAGCCAGCAGGGGAGGGCGUCCUCUGCCCGCUCACUUCUGACCCUUCUCUCGUUGCACCCGGAACAUGGUGCAGCUGGGAGCAGCCUGGGCUGCGCGGAAGGCUCAGAUUUGGGGACGGCCCUUGCCAGUGACUGUGAGCUGGGGUGUCUUGGAAACUCCCAGUCUCAGCUUCUCCAUUUAUAAGAUGAGAAUGAUCAUACCAGACUCAGGCAAGGUUGUUUGUGCAUUAGUGAAAUCAGACGUAUUAAAUAAAGUACCACAUUGAUCGUGGAGUUGUUGAAUAACCAAGAA
rnacentral:sRNA from 1 species